rnacentral:ncRNA from 1 species
CAUGAUGGGGAUCAGGGAUUGCAAUUAUUCCCCAUGUAUGAGGAAUUCGCAGUAAGUGUGCAUCAUAAGCUUGCAUUAAUUAAGUCCCUGUCCUUUGUACACACUGCCUGUCCCUACUACCAAUUGGAUAGUUUAGUGAGGCCCUCAGAUUGGCCCUGAAGGUGUCUGCCCAUGGCCCUGGUUGUGUGCUAAGAAGAAGUCGAACUUGGCUAUCUAGAGGAAGUGAAAGUCCCAACAAGGUUUCUGCAGGUGAACCUGUAGAUGGAUCAUUA